AGAGUUUGAUCCUGGCUCAGAUUGAACGCUAGCUACAGGCUUAACACAUGCAAGUCGAGGGGCAUCAGGAAGAAAGCUUGCUUUCUUUGCUGGCGACCGGCGCACGGGUGAGUAACACGUAUCCAACCUGCCCUUUACUCGGGGAUAGCCUUUCGAAAGAAAGAUUAAUACCCGAUAGCAUAAUGAUUCCGCAUGGUUUCAUUAUUAAAGGAUUCCGGUAAAGGAUGGGGAUGCGUUCCAUUAGGUUGUUGGUGAGGUAACGGCUCACCAAGCCUUCGAUGGAUAGGGGUUCUGAGAGGAAGGUCCCCCACAUUGGAACUGAGACACGGUCCAAACUCCUACGGGAGGCAGCAGUGAGGAAUAUUGGUCA
rnacentral:rRNA from 1 species